rnacentral:rRNA from 1 species
CAGCAGCCACGGGAAUACGUAGGGUGCGAGCGUUAAUCGGAAUUACUGGGCGUAAAGCGUGCGCAGGCGGUUUUGUAAGACAGGCGUGAAAUCCCCGGGCUCAACCUGGGAAUGGCGCUUGUGACUGCAAAGCUAGAGUGCGGCAGAGGGGGAUGGAAUUCCGCGUGUAGCAGUGAAAUGCGUAGAUAUGCGGAGGAACACCGAUGGCGAAGGCAAUCCCCUGGGCCUGCACUGACGCUCAUGCACGAAAGCGUGGGGAGCAAACAGGAUUAGAUACCCGUGUAGUCCCUGUCUCUUAUAC